UAGUAACUGCGAGUGAAGCGGGAAAAGCUCAAAUUUAAAAUCUGGCGGUCUUUGGCCGUCCGAGUUGUAGUCUGGAGAAGUGCUUUCCGCGCUGGACCGUGUACAAGUCUCUUGGAACAGAGCGUCAUAGAGGGUGAGAAUCCCGUCUUUGACACGGACUACCAGUGCUUUGUGAUGCGCUCUCAAAGAGUCGAGUUGUUUGGGAAUGCAGCUCAAAAUGGGUGGUGAAUUCCAUCUAAAGCUAAAUAUUGGCGAGAGACCGAUAGCGAACAAGUACCGUGAGGGAAAGAUGAAAAGCACUUUGGAAAGAGAGUUAAACAGUACGUGAAAUUGCUGAAAGGGAAACGCUUGAAGUCAGUCACGUUGGCCAGAACUCAGCCUUGCUUUUUUGCUUGGUGCACUUUCUGGUUUGACGGGUCAGCAUCAGUUUUGAUCGUCGGAAAAAGGCUGGAGGAAUGUGGCACCUUCGGGUGUGUUAUAGCCUCCAGUCACAUACGACGGUUGGGACUGAGGAUCUCAGCACGCCUUUAUGGCCGGGGUUCGCCCACGUUCGUGCUUAGGAUGCUGGCAUAAUGGCUUUAAGCGACCCGUCUUGAAACACGGACCAAGGAGUCUAACAUACCUGCGAGUGUUUGGGUGGAAAACCCGAGCGCGUAAUGAAAGUGAAAGUUGAGAUCCCUGUCGUGGGGAGCAUCGACGCCCGGACCUGACGUUCUCUGACGGCUCCGCGGUAGAGCAUGUAUGCUGGGACCCGAAAGAUGGUGAACUAUGCCUGAAUAGGGUGAAGCCAGAGGAAACUCUGGUGGAGGCUCGUAGCGAUUCUGACGUGCAAAUCGAUCGUCAAAUUUGGGUAUAGGGGCGAAAGACUAAUCGAACCAUC
rnacentral:rRNA from 1 species